UACGGAGGAUGCGAGCGUUAUCCGGAUUCAUUGGGUUUAAAGGGUGCGUAGGCGGCUUUUUAAGUCAGUGGUGAAAUCCUGCAGCUUAACUGUAGAAUUGCCAUUGAUACUGAAGAGCUUGAAUAUAGUUGAGGUAGGCGGAAUGUGCAGUGUAGCGGUGAAAUGCUUAGAUAUUGCACAGAACACCGAUUGCGAAGGCAGCUUACUAAAUUAUUAUUGACGCUGAGGCACGAAAGCGUGGGGAUCGAACAGGAUUAGAAACCCUAGUAGUCC
rnacentral:rRNA from 1 species